rnacentral:ncRNA from 2 species
CUUAAAAAAAUAAGCCAUGAAUUGUUAUCUGUAUUUGGGCACUUAGAUAACAAGGAGCCAGUAGUGCAACCACCUAUUUUUUAG